rnacentral:misc_RNA from 1 species
GAUGAAGAACGCAGCGAAAUGCGAUAAGUAAUGUGAAUUGCAGAAUUCGGUGAAUCAUCGAAUCUUUGAACGCACAUUGCGCCCGCCAGUAUUCUGGCGGGCAUGCCUGUUCGAGCGUCAUUUCAACCAUCAAGCCCCAGGCUUGUGUUGGAGCCCUGCGGCUGCCGCAGCCUCCCAAAACCAGUGGCGGGCUCGCUAUCACACCGAGUGCAGUAGUUUACUCUUCGCUCAGGGCGUGUGGCGGGUGCUAGCCGUAAAACCCCCAACUUCUCAAGGUUGACCUCGGAUCAGGUAGGAAUACCCGCUGAACUUAAGCAUAUCAAUAAGCGGAGGA